UACAGAGGGUGCGAGCGUUAAUCGGAAUACUGGGCGUAAAGCGCGCGUAGGCGGCUUUGCAAGUCGGGGUGUGAAAUCCCCAGGCUUAACCUGGGAACUGCAUUCGAGACUGCAUUGCUAGAGUAUGGGAGAGGGAAGUGGAAUUUCCGGUGUAGCGGUGAAAUGCGUAGAUAUCGGAAGGAACAUCAGUGGCGAAAGCGACUUCCUGGACCAAUACUGACGCUCAUGUGCGAAAGCGUGGGGAGCAAACAGG
rnacentral:rRNA from 1 species